AAUUGAGCAAAACACAUUUACCAAAUCGAUAGUGGGAUACUGAAUACCGAUGGCUAUGUUGAUCUGUUCCAAUAAAGCUGCCAUAUUUGGUGUGGCAGCUGCAAGUGGGGCUACCACCUGUUUACAGUUACAGUAUUCUAAUAUCAUCCAUGUUUUUUCACAGGAGCAAGACUUAAACCUUGAGAUGAUGGGGAGCACCACCCCUACAUCCUUUCAGUCUUGUAUAAUGGCACUAAUCUUUGAAAUUCUCCUUGGAUGGUAUUGCUUUUAAUUUACUCUCUUUGCCAAGGGUGGUGGCAAUUUCAGAGUCUUUCACUUGCCUCUUACUAGGAUUACGGUCCUUGCUUCUCAAGCCUAUGGUCAAAUGUAAAAGUUCUGUUUGUGCCAGGAAUAUUUAUUCCAAUUACACAUUCAAGACCAGGAAAAUUACCACAAGAUGGAUCUGUGGACUCACUGGAUCCACUGUAAGAUGGACUUGGGCCAGGACUCCAUUUAUCAAAUAGCCUGCAUAAAUUUUACUUUAUCCCUGGCCCUCAAAAAGUCUGAAUAUUUUCCUUUCUCCAGUGGACAGUUAGCCUGGAAAAAAGUCACAGGUCUCCCUGGGGAAGGACUGGAGAGAGAUAUACUUGUGAUGACAUUGCAGGAACUUCCUCAAGGGCACACCCUCUGCUUCAGUCAGUUGGCUCUGGGUUGGUGAACUGGCUUAGGUUGCAAUUUCCUAUUAUAAUAGCUGACAUCAGCCCACUACUCACCAGCUCUCAUUUUAAAAAACUGUUGUUGUUGUUCUACAAAUGAGGUAACACCCUAGUCCAUUGUCCUUCUAUUUUGACCCUAGAAACAUCAUGAUCUAGUAGCUACCACUCUAGAUUCCUGUGGAUCAAGGCAUCCUGAUUGUUAUUUCACUCUUUCUGUCCAUUGCCAAGGUGACCAAGGAUUUACUGUCAAAACCAGGGCACUUUGGAGAUUGAAAGCUGGCACUAUUAAUAAUUAUACUGGGAGAACACACAAAAACUGUCCUGAGCAAACUAUGACAUAUGUUGACCCUCCUCAUUAUGGUAUUUAGAGCCAUCUUGCCUCUGAUGACUCAGUGCUGCCACCUGGCUUCUGCCCUUUCUUAAUCCCUUCAUCCUCCUGAAUUCCAAGGACCCCGCACCAUCCACUCCAGCCUAUACAAGAGGACAACGAUUAAACUUCUCAAAGGUGUUGGUGACUCCUUCACAGGCACAGUCUUUAUUGCCUUUGGAGAGGGAGCAUCCUUUGGGACCUCUCAUGAACUGCUGGAUGGUAGGUCCUCAGGAAUUACACAGUAAAGCUAUUCUAACAUUCCCAUAUCCCUUUCCCAAUCUCAUGCCAAGGAAAUUCUGGCACCUCCACUUCAUUUACUGCAGGCUAUUGCUGAUCUGGCCUCCACAGAGCCAUCCCAGCAGACUGUGAGGACUGGAUUCAGGUGUCUUUGCCAAAUAAUUGGAUCCUGAGUCAUAGGUAAGUGCUGCCAAGUGGCUCUGCUAUGCCGGGAUUCCAGCAUCCUCACUGAAACCAGGGGACCCAUUGCAAAGGCAGCGUCAGCCUGGUCUGCGGAGGACAAGGAUCACAAAGCUAUUCUAGGAUGCUGAGGGUCAUCUCGCCAAUGUAUUGCUAAUGCCCUGGUGAAGGAAGUGUCUUCUGAGCCGUCCAGGAUGAUGGCAUGAGGGUGGGCAGGGGCGUUAGCAUACAGGUCACUUACGAUAAAUCUACUCCAACAUCCACCUCCUCUGAAACCUUCAAAUGCCCUCCUCUGCCUUAUGUGGGAAAGUUCCGCAUCUCCAUCUCAGUGAACGCAGGCCGCCAUUGAACCCAAGUUCUGCCAACCAACCAGGCAAACCAUUAGAACCACUUCUGGAUGUGAAAGACAACAUGUUACAUCCAUAAUCUCUA